rnacentral:rRNA from 1 species
AGGGAAUCUUCCACAAUGGGCGAAAGCCUGAUGGAGCAACGCCGCGUGAGUGAUGAAGGUUUUCGGAUCGUAAAACUCUGUUGUUAGGGAAGAACACCCGGGAGAGGAUCCCGGUUUGACGGUACCUGACGAGAAAGCCCCGGCUAACUACGUGCCAGCAGCCGCGGUAAUACGUAGGGGGCAAGCGUUGUCCGGAAUUAUUGGGCGUAAAGCGCGCGCAGGCGGCUUACUAAGUCUGGUGUGAAAGCCCACGGCUCAACCGUGGAGGGCCAUUGGAAACUGGUAAGCUUGAGUGCAGGAGAGGAGAGCGGAAUUCCUGGUGUAGCGGUGAAAUGCGUAGAUAUCAGGAGGAACACCCGUGGCGAAGGCGGCUCUCUGGCCUGUAACUGACGCUGAGGCGCGAAAGCGUGGGGAGCAAAC